AAUACGUUCCCGGGCCUUGUACACACCGCCCGUCAAGCCAUGAAAGCCUGAGGUACCUGAAGUCGACGACCGCAAGGAGUCGCCCAAGGUAAAUCCGGUAAUUGGGGCU
rnacentral:rRNA from 1 species